rnacentral:lncRNA from 1 species
CCGUCUGACGUUUUCGACCUAAUUCUACUUUCACUUCCCGUAUGCUGCGCAUGCCCGUAUGACGUCAUAUUCGGCUGCUAUACUUAGUAACAAUAGCGAAUGAUACCACGUGGGGUGAAGAUUUUUCAAAUAAAGUUAUUAUAUUAAGUAUUUACGAUUUUUUUAUUUGAUAUCACAUUUUUGUACCCUUUUCACUAAUACUAGUUUUACCUUCCAAAAGAAUCGGUCUAAAAUAAACGAAUUUUCUA